CCACCCAAUGCGCCACCUAUACCUGCUUCGGUAUUGCCGCCUGCCGAUGCAACGCCGCUCAGCAGGCCAAGUGACAACAAGAGAAUCGAGGAGUACUUCAUAUGUGAAAGCCUCAAAGGGAUACGGCGGCGAUCCUGAGGCUCUGGACAGGGGCUUACAAUUGAAAUCCGACGAAUGACACGACUUGGAAAAAUUCUCCAAGUUACUGUUUUCACAAUGGAAACUUUAGGGUUUUUCGACGGUCACAGGCUGAUUGCGAAAGGCCUUUCCAGGGAUGGAAAGGCCUUUUUCUUUACCGUGUCACGCACUACCCUCCUACCCCAAGCUUGCGUGCCCCAACCCGCUGGAUCAACAAGGUGACAAGUGCGCCGAGCAAAGCCAGGGCCAUGUCCUUUUGCGCA
rnacentral:sRNA from 2 species